ACGGAAGGCAGCAGUGGGGAAUAUUGCACAAUGGGGGAAACCCUGAUGCAGCGACGCCGCGUGAGUGAAGAAGUAUUUCGGUAUGUAAAGCUCUAUCAGCAAGGAAGAAAAUGACGGUACUUGACUAAGAAGCCCCGGCUAACUACGUGCCAGCAGCCGCGGUAAUACGUAGGGGGCAAGCGUUAUCCGGAUUUACUGGGUGUAAAGGGAGCGUAGACGGUGAGGCAAGUCUGAAGUGAAAUGCAUGGGCUCAACCCAUGAACUGCUUUGGAAACUGUCUGACUAGAGUGCAGGAGAGGUAAGUGGAAUUCCUAGUGUAGCGGUGAAAUGCGUAGAUAUUAGGAGGAACACCAGUGGCGAAGGCGGCUUACUGGACUGUAACUGACGUUGAGGCUCGAAAGCGUGGGGAGCAAACAGGAUUAGAUACCCUGGUA
rnacentral:rRNA from 1 species